UUUUUACCAACGAGCAGGCCCCACAGUUUCCACCACCGGGCUUUGAGCUGCUUCCUCUCUUGGCCUAGGCAGAGAACUGGCCCCUACCUGCCCACCAGAAAACAGGGGAAUUACUCAAGUGCAGGAUUAAAGGCAAUAAUGAGCAAUCAGACCGAACUGGAAUGACAGUAGGGGAAGGUGAAGAGACUUUGGGAAAAGGAAGAGCACUGAAGUCAGACCUGGCACAGCCUUUUACGAGCUAUGUAAUCUCAGUUCCCAGCUGUUAUGUCUGUAAUUACCAAUCUUGCCAGGAGCAUCCGACAAAGCACAGCAAAACCUCAUUUCCAAAGGGCCCCACCAUGAAGGGCCUCUGCCUCCUACUCUGUACCAACCAGGGUAGAGACAAGGAAUGCAAAAAUUCUCCCUGGCCCACCACAGUUCUAUCCAGACCACAACAGAGAAGGUACAGGACUACCAAACACCCUGUGUGCCUUCUUGCUCACGCUCAGCCUCCACCAGCAGUGCCCUCCUAAGACCCUUCCUGUUGGCCUAACUCAUCCUUUAACCAGGUAAAGUCUAUCCACACAAGGGAAUAAUAUUCAGCUAUAAAAUGGAAUGCAGUACUAAUACAUGCUACAUGCUACGAUGUGGAUUAACCUGGAAAACAUUAUGUUAAA
rnacentral:lncRNA from 1 species